AUGAACGCUGGCGACGUGGAUAAGGCAUGCAAGUUGUACGAUUGGAGGUUGGAAUUUCUAACUUCCAGUAGUAGCAGACGAGGUAGUAACGCGUAGGAACAUACCCCCGAGACGGGCAUAACGGGCCGAAAGGUCCGCUAAUUCCCGAUGGUCUCGCAAGAGUAAAUCCCUAAAAGGGGCUUGGGGAGUGGCCUGCGUAGUAUCAGCUAGUUGGCGGUGUAAUAGACCACCAAGGCUAUGACGCUUAGGGGCGCUGAGAGGCGGACCCCCACCGAUGGUACUGAGAAACGGACCAUACACCUACGGGUGGCCGCAGCCGAGAAUAUUCGACAAUGGGCGAAAGCCUGAUCGAGCGACGUCGCGUGCAGGAUGAAGGCCUUCGGGUUGUAAACUGCUUUUGUAGGCUAGAAAUUUUUGAUCAGCCUAAGAAUAAGAGGUUGCUAACUCUGU
rnacentral:rRNA from 1 species